GCCCCGGCCCACGCCCACAGGCCGCUCGGAGGGCCGGCGCGGGCCGCAGAAUUGAGAAGAAAGUACUUCCACAAUCACGGCAGAUGAAGGUUCCCUGGUAGACCGAUCAGGAUUUGUGGCCUGAGCUCCGGAGACAAGCUCCAGUUCCCUCAGCUCAUAUCUUCUUCUUCCCAUACAAUGCAGACCAGCUGCACCUGACCAGGAAGAUCCUAAACACAGUUGUGAAACGGACUUGAGCUCUUUGGGCACAUUUUUCUAGGCCAAGGCCUUUGCCUGGUCUGCCAGGCAGCACUGUGCUCAUGUGCAGUUGAGACCUUUGUGACCCAGCUUGGUGGCCAGGGAAUAUCUCACUACAUGUUUACCCUAACGCAUUGAAUUUUGCCUUGAAAAGAAAAGUGCGGGGGCUGGAGAGAUGGCUUAGUGGUUAGGGCUCUUGCCUUCAAAGCCAAAGGACCCAGGUUUGAUUUCCCAGGACCCACGUAAGCCAGAUGCACAAGGGGGCGCUGGAGUUUAUUUCCAGCGGCUGCAGGCCCUGCUGUGACCAUAUUCCCUUUCUCC